GCCGAGAUGGCCGAGGUAGUCAAGGCACCUGUCUGAAGAACAGGCUAUCCGAGUGCAAUUCUUGGUCUCGGCA
rnacentral:tRNA from 3 species